CCUAGUGGCUCAGUGGUAAAGAAUCUGCCUGCAGAGCAGAACAACACAGGAGACGCAGGUUCGAUCCCUGGUCUAGG
rnacentral:tRNA from 1 species